CGUUUUGUGGGGUGCUCGAGUGGCGAACGGGUGAGUAACACGUGAGUAACCUGCCCUGACUUUGGGAUAACUUCAGGAAACUGGGGCUAAUACCGGAUAGGAGCUCCUGCUGCAUGGUGGGGGUUGGAAAGUUUCGGCGGUUGGGGAUGGACUCGCGGCUUAUCAGCUUGUUGGUGGGGUAGUGGCUUACCAAGGCUUUGACGGGUAGCCGGCCUGAGAGGGUGACCGGCCACAUUGGGACUGAGAUACGGCCCAG
rnacentral:rRNA from 1 species